rnacentral:rRNA from 1 species
GAUGAACGCUGGCGGCGUGCCUAAUACAUGCAAGUCGAGCGAACGGACGAGAAGCUUGCUUCUCUGAUGUUAGCGGCGGACGGGUGAGUAACACGUGGAUAACCUACCUAUAAGACUGGGAUAACUUCGGGAAACCGGAGCUAAUACCGGAUGAUAUUUUGAACCGCAUGGUUCAAAAGUGAAAGACGGUCUUGCUGUCACUUAUAGAUGGAUCCGCGCUGCAUUAGCUAGUUGGUAAGGUAACGGCUUACCAAGGCAACGAUGCGUAGCCGACCUGAGAGGGUGAUCGGCCACACUGGAACUGAGACACGGUCCAGACUCCUACGGGAGGCAGCAGUAGGGAAUCUUCCGCAAUGGGCGAAAGCCUGACGGAGCAACGCCGCGUGAGUGAUGAAGGUCUUCAGAUCGUAAAACUCUGUUAUUAGGGAAGAACAAAUGUGUAAGUAACUGUGCACGUCUUGACGGUACCUAAUCAGAAAGCCACGGCUAACUACGUG